UACGAAGGGGGCUAGCGUUGCUCGGAAUUACUGGGCGUAAAGGGCGCGUAGGCGGCACUGUUAGUCAGGCGUGAAAGUCCUGGGCUCAACCUGGGAACUGCGCUUGAUACGGCAGAGCUAGAGGAUGGAAGAGGCUCGCGGAAUUCCCAGUGUAGAGGUGAAAUUCGUAGAUAGUUGGGAAGAACACCGGUGGCGAAGGCGGCGAGCUGGUCCAUUACUGACGCUGAGGCGCGACAGCGUGGGGGAGCAAACAGG
rnacentral:rRNA from 1 species